rnacentral:lncRNA from 1 species
CCGGCCCUGCAUGUAUGGCCGAUGGCCCCUUUUGAUCAAUAGACUGCAUGCCCUUUCGCUUAUUUGUAUUCUCUUUUCACUUCGCUACCUUUGUGGAUCCAACAUGUCUUAUACCCAAACCUGAUCCAUAAGAAGUGACUAAUCAGGCUAUUGCUUCUGUCUUCAAAGCUACGCUCCUACUUCACUCGAGCAGCAGAUUCUCUAACAGUAACAGCGGAUUCGUGCAGCGUAUUCUUGCUAACAAACGAGAGCGCUUCCAAGCACAACGCUGCUUUUCGUAGGGACUCUCAUCUCAAGCCUCUAAAACUCUAAAGU